UGUUCUAGAAUGCUAUUAUGGUGUUCUAGAAUGCUUCGCUGUUCUGUUCCUUCAGACCUGGGCCAAAAGUAUGUCAAAUAUGUUAAUGUUUGAAAUAUACUAUAUAAAUAAAGUUUGAUUUGAUUUUGAAAGUCAGAUACUUGAAGUAUGUGAGGUGCACUUGGCUUGGUGUUUACUAUUCCAUUGGUUUGAAAUCAAGUGCACCUCAAAGUAUUGGGAGAAUUUGACUCAUGUACUUGACCCAGUUCAGUAGGAUGUUCAGAUAGGAAUACGCUACGUAAAACAAAUACAUGGUGAAUAAGCAAUCAGCUCCAUUCAUGGGAUUUCUAUACGCAACAUUCAACAACUAUUGGCCACUGAACGUGGCUCUGGCUUGUGUUCAGUACAACAAAACGGUACCUUACUGAACCACCAGUUCAUGACCUUUGUGAUUAUGGUAGCCCAGAGGACCGUUUUUACUUUUGUUAUUUUUAUUAAAAAAUAUAUAUAUAUUUUAUACCUGUUUUCUCUGCAAUUUCAUGGUAUCCAAUUUUGUCGUAGUUACAGUCUUGUCUCAUCGCUGCAACUCCUGUACGAACUCAGGAGAGGCAGGAAAGGUCGAGAGCGUCCUCCUUAACCCAACCAAGCCACACUGCAUCUUGACACAAUGCCCGCUUAACCCGGAGGCCAGACGCACUAAUGUGUCAGAGGAAACGCCGUACACCUGGUGACCGUGUCAGGGUGCACUGCACCUGGCCCACCGCUAGUUUUGUCGCUAGUUUUGCACUGUUGGUUAAGGGCCUGUAAGUAAGCAUUUCACCUGUUGUAUUCGGCGCACGUGACAAAUAAACUUUAAUUUGAAUUAGUGUGCGAUGGGACAAGGACAUCCCUGCCGGCCAAACCCUCCCCUAACGCGGACAAUGCUGGGCCAAUUGUGCACCGCCCCAUGGGUCUCCCGGUCGCGACAGAGCCUGGACUCGAACCCAGAAUCUCUAGUGGCACAGCUAACACUGUGAUGCAUAUCCCAUAUGGUGGGAUUAUAGUGGCCCAGAGGACAGUUACCAUAUAGUGGGAUUAUAGUGGCCCAGAGGACAGUUACCAUAUGGUUGGAUUAUAGUGGCCCAGAGGACAGUUACCAUAUGGUUGGAUUAUAGUGGCCCAGAGGACAGUUACCAUAUGGUUGGAUUAUAGUGGCCCAGAGGAUAGUUACCAUAUGGUUGGAUUAUAGUGGCCCAGAGGACAGUUACCAUAUAGUGGGAUUAUAGUGGCCCAGAGGACAGUUACCAUAUGGUGGGAUUAUAGUGGCCCAGAGGACAGUUACCAUAUGGUGGGAUUAUAGUGGCCCAGAGGACAGUUACCCUAUAGUGUGAUUAUAGUAGCCCAGAGGACAGUUACCAUAUGGUUGGAUUAUAGUGGCCCAGAGGACAGUUACCAUAUGGUUGGAUUAUAGUGGCCCAGAGGACAGUUACCAUAUGGUGGGAUUAUAGUGGCCCAGAGGACAGUUACCAUAUAGUUGGAUUAUAGUGGCCCAGAGGACAGUUACCAUAUGGUGGGAUUAUAGUGGCCCAGAGGACAGUUACCAUAUGGUGGGAUUAUAGUGGCCCAGAGGACAGUUACCAUAUGGUUGGAUUAUAGUGGCCCAGAGGACAGUUACCAUAUGGUUGGAUUAUAGUGGCCCAGAGGACAGUUACCAUAUGGUGGGAUUAUAGUGACCCAGAGGACAGUUACCAUAUGGUUGGAUUAUAGUGGCCCAGAGGACAGUUACCAUAUAGUGGGAUUAUAGUGGCCCAGAGGACAGUUACCAUAUGGUGGGAUUAUAGUGGCCCAGAGGACAGUUACCAUAUGGUAGGAUUAUAGUGGCCCAGAGGACAGUUACCAUAUGGUUGGAUUAUAGUGGCCCAGAGGACAGUUACCCUAUAGUGGGAUUAUAGUGGCCCAGAGGACAGUUACCAUAUGGUGGGAUUAUAGUAGCCCAGAGGUCAGUUACCAUAUGGUUGGAUUAUAGUGACCCAGAGGUCAGUUACCAUAUAGUUGGAUUAUAGUGGCCCAGAGGACAGUUACCAUAUGGUUGGAUUAUAGUGGCCCAGAGGACAGUUACCCUAUAGUGGGAUUAUAGUGGCCCAGAGGACAGUUACCAUAUGGUGGGAUUAUAGUAGCCCAGAGGUCAAUUACCAUAUGGUUGGAUUAUAGUGACCCAGAGGUCAGUUACCAUAUAGUUGGAUUAUAGUGGCCCAGAGGACAGUUACCAUAUGGUUUGAUUAUAGUGGCCCAGAGGACAGUUACCCUAUAGUGGGAUUAUAGUAGCCCAGAGGACAGUUACCAUAUGGUUGGAUUAUAGUGGCCCAGAGGACAGUUACCAUAUGGUUGGAUUAUAGUGGCCCAGAGGACAGUUACCAUAUGGUUGGAUUAUAGUGGCCCAGAGGACAGUUACCAUAUGGUUGGAUUAUAGUGGCCCAGAGGACAGUUACCAUAUGGUUGGAUUAUAGUGGCCCAGAGGAAAGUUACCAUAUGGUUGGAUUAUAGUGGCCCAGAGGACAGUUACCAUAUGGUUGGAUUAUAGUGGCCCAGAGGACAGUUACCAUAUGGUUGGAUUAUAGUGGCCCAGAGGACAGUUACCAUAUGGUUGGAUUAUAGUGGCCCAGAGGACAGUUACCCUAUAGUGGGAUUAUAGUGACCCAGAGGACAGUUACCAUAUGGUUGGAUUAUAGUGGCCCAGAGGACAGUUACCAUAUGGUUGGAUUAUAGUGGCCCAGAGGACAGUUACCAUAUGGUUGGAUUAUAGUAGCCCAGAGGACAGUUACCAUAUGGUUGGAUUAUAGUGGCCCAGAGGACAGUUACCCUAUAGUGGGAUUAUAGUGGCCCAGAGGACAGUUACCAUAUGGUGGGAUUAUAGUGGCCCAGAGGACAGUUACCAUAUGGUUGGAUUAUAGUAGCCCAGAGGACAGUUACCAUAUGGUUGGAUUAUAGUGGCCCAGAGGACAGUUACCAUAUGGUGGGAUUAUAGUGACCCAGAGGACAGUUACCAUAUGGUUGGAUUAUAGUGGCCCAGAGGACAGUUACCAUAUGGUUGGAUUAUAGUGGCCCAGAGGACAGUUACCAUAUGGUUGGAUUAUAGUGGCCAGAGGACAGUUACCCUAUAGUGGGAUUAUAGUGGCCCAGAGGACAGUUACCCUAUAGUGGGAUUAUAGUGGCCCAGAGGACAGUUACCCUAUAAUGGGAUUAUAGUGGCCCAGAGGACAGUUACCCUAUAGUGGGAUUAUAGUGGCCCAGAGGACAGUUACCCUAUAGUGGGAUUAUAGUGGCCCAGAGGACAGUUACCCUAUAGUGGGAUUAUAGUGGCCCAGAGGACAGUUACCCUAUAGUGGGAUUAUAGUGGCCCAGAGGACAGUUACCCUAUAGUGGGAUUAUAGUGGCCCAGAGGACAGUUACCAUAUAGUGGGAUUAUAGUGGCCCAGAGGUCAGUUACCAUAUAGUGGGAUUAUAGUGGCCCAGAGGACAGUUACCCUAUAGUGGGAUUAUAGUGGCCCAGAGGACAGUUACCAUAUAGUGGGAUUAUAGUGGCCCAGAGGACAGUUACCAUAUAGUGGGAUUAUAGUGGCCCAGAGGACAGUUACCCUAUAGUGGGAUUAUAGUGGCCCAGAGGACAGUUACCAUAUAGUGGGAUUAUAGUGGCCCAGAGGACAGUUACCCUAUAGUGGGAUUAUAGUGGCCCAGAGGUCAGUUACCCUAUAGUGGGAUUAUAGUGGCCCAGAGGACAGUUACCCUAUAGUGGGAUUAUAGUGGCCCAGAGGACAGUUACCAUAUGGUUGGAUUAUAGUGGCCCAGAGGACAGUUACCAUAUGGUUGGAUUAUAGUGGCCCAGAGGACAGUUACCAUAUGGUUGGAUUAUAGUAGCCCAGAGGACAGUUACCAUAUGGUUGGAUUAUAGUGGCCCAGAGGACAGUUACCAUAUGGUUGGAUUAUAGUGGCCCAGAGGACAGUUACCAUAUGGUUGGAUUAUAGUGGCCCAGAGGACAGUUACCAUAUGGUUGGAUUAUAGUGGCCCAGAGGACAGUUACCAUAUGGUUGGAUUAUAGUAGCCCAGAGGACAGUUACCAUAUGGUUGGAUUAUAGUGGCCCAGAGGACAGUUACCAUAUGGUUGGAUUAUAGUGGCCCAGAGGACAGUUACCAUAUGGUUGGAUUAUAGUAGCCCAGAGGACAGUUACCAUAUGGUUGGAUUAUAGUGGCCCAGAGGACAGUUACCCUAUAGUGGGAUUAUAGUGAC